rnacentral:ncRNA from 1 species
AUAUUAGACGAAAUGGGAACAUCCCAUAAUAAUUAUAUAUUCUCUUAGAGAAUAUAUAACGUCAAUGAUUCGUCGUGUACGAUCCUCUGCGAGUUGUUUAUCUUCACAGCAGAUUCUGUUAAGAAGAGUUUGGAGCAUUUGUAAAAUGGGACAACAUUUUGUUAGUAUU